UUGAAUCUGUUCAAAUUACUAGCUCUGCAUUUGCAAAUUCUAUGGUAAUUUGUUCUGGUUUUCGUUGAUGUAUCUGAGUAAUUGAUUAUGUUUCCCGUCCUAAGUUAGUGAAGGUGUGCCUAUUCUACAUUUGUUGAAUUUUAAAGGGUAAACAACGAAUUUUCGUUUUUGAGAAUUAAAUUUGAAGUUUUUGCUUUUGUGGUUGGGAUGAAGUUGAAUAUUGAUUUGGGGUGGCUGAUUUGGUUCAUUUAUACAUUAGAGAUCCAAGUUUAUUACUUUUUUUCUAAUUGCUAUAGCCAUUGUUCAAGCUCAUGUGCGUGCUUGACCUAAACGAACAAAUGAAUGUAAUCAAGCUAAUUAAUCCACUUUGAUAUCUCUUAUCUUGGACAGUAAGGAACUCUGAUUUAAUAUUAAUAGGUUGCAUAAUGAAGCUAUAUUUAGUUAAUCAGAUGACAAAAUAGCAUGAUAAAUUGAAUGUCAUUUACCCAAUACUGAUUGUGCUUCUUUUGUCUCACUGUUUUUAUUUGUUCCUGAUGGUGGACAUCUGUUCAUCAGUGAUCAGAGCAGUUUUGAAUCUAUCCUAAGAGCACUUCUGUUUGAAUAGUUUCCAUCCUACAUGCCUUUAACUUGUAUGCAAAUUGUCAUUGGUCUAGACUUUGUAAUAAUUGGGAAUAACAUUUUUAAUUAUUUAUACCCCUUUCUGGUGUGGUAUUUAAUCUACUUUUUACAUUUCGCAUGUGAAUGUUUUGAAAUGCUGAUGUUGGGUUUGUAUGAAGUUUUAACUACUGAGAAGAUUUGCCAGUUGCCACAGGUGUGUAUUUAAAUGUGGUAUACCAGGAGGUUAAGGGGGCAUGCAUGUCAUUAUUAUUAUUAUUUUUUUUUGACAUUUUAUAUUAAUUUGGAAUUCCCUUGUUUUUUGUUUUUCAAUCUAUUUUUAAACGUUAUAAUGCCAAAAGAAGAAUGCACAACUUUACAGAAAGCUGGAGUACUAUCACACAGAAGCAAGGCAAAUUCAGGUAGUUAAUUAAUCAUGUAGAAGUGAAGAAAGGUGUGGAAAUUUUAUGGGCAUACCAUGCGUGUAUUAGGAUGUCGCUUGUCAUGACUUCUGAGCAUCUGUAACUUGAAGAAUGCAAACAACUCGCCAACCUGUGUCUCUGGACAGGUGUAUGGGGAAUCAAAUGGAGCGGAAGUAUAGUGACUAGCCAUCUAACAAAUGGUGCAUAUAUGUUGGCUACUCUUAUUCAAGUUCCGGCUUUGUGAAGAUUUGGAUAUUUCGGCUUAUAUAUAUGUUGACAAUUUGUAUUUUGGACGAUCAAAUUAAUUAUCUAACUUUUAUUAAUUAUUAGUAGGGUAUGUCAUACCAAAAAUAGGCAAGUAAUAUUUUGUAAUGUACGUAUUUUGCAUUAUAAUUAUUAUAUAUAAAUGAUACUUUAAUUUGCUUAUGUUAGUAUAUUUAGAUUUGUACCGACUAAUUAAUAUUAUAUUACCAUUCCAUCCCAACAAAAAAAAAAAAA